GUCACGAGGUCACAGGAAGCUGCCGCUGCUCUCCGUGCUUACUGAAAUCCGAGCCCAAGCCCGCUUGAGCUGCUGUACCGCUCUCGUUCUCAGAAGCGCCCUGCCCACAACAACAACAACAACCACAACAACAACCACAACAACAACCACAACAACCACAACAACAACAACCACCACGAGCUGUCUCUUUCUCUGCAGAAUUGGUCUGAUGGAGCAAAGGCACUCGGCGCAGCUCGGUGCAAAAAGGCAUCAAUGCGACCGUACAAGGUAAUCGCUUGGUCAGAACACAGAGUUAUGCAGAAGCCAUUGACAAGUUUACCGACGCAAUUAACUUAUGUCCGCGCGAUCAUCGCUUUUAUGGAAAUCGGUCAUUUUGUUUGGAACAUCUUGGCUUGUACACUGAUGCCUUGUUCGAUGCGGAGAUCGCUAUAUAUCUAAACCCAACAUGGCCCCGGGGAUACUUCAGACAAGCGCGGGCUUGCAUUGGACUGAAGCGUUACAGAGAGGCAGAAAGUGCGUUAUGUCAGCUGAUUUCUUUAAAUGUGUCUUCUGAAGAAGCAAAACAAGAGCUUAGGAAAGUGCGAACACUUCUCCUUGUGGAGAUGGGCUUUCCACAGCAGCAGUCGGAGGCUGCAAUCUUGGAGUACGACACGGUGUACGCCGCUUCAGAAGCACUGCUUCGAAACACAGGUUCCUUGUCAACAUCCGGUGUGGGCAACGUGGGGAUACAGAAUGAUAAACCACCAAGUCCUCAGCCUACUGUAGAUGUCGCCGCACAGAGGAGCCAAGACUCACGUGGUGCUUUGGGCAAUUCUCCAGUGCCUCCACCACCUUCGUAUAAGCAUAUGGGUGGGAAAUAUCACUUCUGCUGUUACUGAAAAAAUGCUUCAAAAGCUGUUUCGCCCAUUUGGACAGAUCCACAGCAUCCGAAUACUGGUGGACAGGAAGUGUGCGUUUGUCAACUACACGGACGAGGAGGCCGCUGAGAGAGCUCUCUGGUCCCUGCAGGGACACAGAGUAGCAGACACCAAUCUGCUCAUCGACUUCCAGAGUGUCUCCGCAAAGACCAUCGCAGCCGCCUUUCAGCAGCCUUCAGCAGUUCCGCCAGAACACGAUGAGUUUACCGGUCUGUCUCCUUGAAUGUACUUCAAACCCACCCUGAUCACAGGGCCACUGUGUUGUUCCACAAUAUAGUUUUUGCAUUUAAUAAACCGGCAUUAUGAAGCGUUCUGACUUCGUGUUUGGAGCUGUUAAUGACGUGAAGGUGGCAAACGUUUUUCAUGUCGGCACCGGCCUUUGAAAGACGUGUAGCAAUUUGACCACUUGCUGUAAAACCACCCACGUGGAUAAGACAUCCACAAUUAGUUUGAGCACGGGGCGUAUUCACUUGUUUGGACUGUCAAAUAAAUAGUCAUGAAAGUCAUUGUGGUUGUUGGGGACUUUCUAUUUGGCCUUGAUUUGGAAAUAGAAGUUUUGGUCAAUUCCUAUUUUGGAUAAUGCUUCACCUGGAUUUCAACCAAACAAUGAAUGCCUUUCGCAGCUCUGCUGAAAUAAUGUCAUCUCAGAAUCUACCGAGGAUGCUGUUGUGAUGCUUCUCCGUAUGUGACAGCAAUCAAGAUGUUCCCGUUUUUAUAAGCCAUACGCUGAACAUAUGCCUGGGACUUUCAUUAGUUUUGAUCUAUAGUUUAGUAUGCUCUUAAGGUGUUUAAUAAAGUCUACAAAUGUACAGUAAACAUCAAAGCUUAACAUACGUUGUCAUUUCAUCAGCAAUUUUCACAUCCUAAACAACAAAAGUCUUAUUUUGCACGCAUUCAGAAGCCGAGACUUUAACGUUGUCUGCAGCGACACAGCUGAAUUUGCCACCUUGCAGAUUGAGAACAUCUGCAAUUACUACUAAUGUUUAAGAUUAAUAUUUUA